rnacentral:rRNA from 1 species
UACGGAGGGUGCGAGCGUUGUCCGGAAUCAUUGGGCGUAAAGGGCGCGUAGGUGGCUUCUUAAGCGUGCGGUGAAAGCCUGGGGCUCAACCCCGGGUCGGCCGUGCGAACUGGGGGGCUGGAGCACUGUAGAGGCAGGCGGAAGUUCCGGGUGUAGCGGUGGAAUGCGUAGAGAUCCGGAAGAACACCGGUGGCGAAGGCGGCCUGCUGGGCAGUGCUGACACUGAGGCGCGACAGCGUGGGGAG